GUGAGGAAUAUUGGUCAAUGGGCGAGAGCCUGAACCAGCCAAGUAGCGUGCAGGAAGACGGCCCUAUGGGUUGUAAACUGCUUUUAUGUGGGGAUAAAGUGCGUGACGUGUCAUGCAUUGCAGGUACCACAUGAAUAAGGACCGGCUAAUUCCGUGCCAGCAGCCGCGGUAAUACGGAAGGUCCGGGCGUUAUCCGGAUUUAUUGGGUUUAAAGGGAGCGUAGGCUGUCUAUUAAGCGUGUUGUGAAAUUUACCGGCUCAACCGGUGGCUUGCAGCGCGAACUGGUCGACUUGAGUAUGCAGGAAGUAGGCGGAAUUCAUGGUGUAGCGGUGAAAUGCUUAGAUAUCAUGACGAACUCCGAUUGCGCAGGCAGCUUACUGUAGCAUAACUGACGCUGAUGCUCGAAAGUGCGGGUAUCAAACAGGA
rnacentral:rRNA from 1 species